rnacentral:tRNA from 1 species
GGGCGAAUAGCUCAGCUGGAAGAGCACCUCCUUUACACGGAGGGGGUCGGGGGUUCGAGCCCCUCUUCGCCCACCA